rnacentral:rRNA from 1 species
CCUACGGGGGGCAGCAGUGGGGAAUAUUGCGCAAUGGGGGCAACCCUGACGCAGCAACGCCGCGUGAUUGAAGAAGGCCUUCGGGUUGUAAAGAUCUUUAAUCGGGGACGAAUUUUGACGGUACCCGAAGAAUAAGCUCCGGCUAACUACGUGCCAGCAGCCGCGGUAAUACGUAGGGAGCAAGCGUUAUCCGGAUUUAUUGGGUUUAAAGGGUGCGUAGGCUGUGAGGUAAGUCAGCGGUGAAAUGCCCCCGCUCAACGGGGUGAAGUGCCAUUGAUACUGCCUUGCUGGAAUGCGGAUGCCGUGGGAGGAAUGUGUGGUGUAGCGGUGAAAUGCAUAGAUAUCACACAGAACACCGAUUGCGAAGGCAUCUCACGAAUCCGCGAUUGACGCUGAUGCACGAAAGCGUGGGUAUCAAACAGGAUUAGAUACCCUAGUAGUC